rnacentral:lncRNA from 1 species
AAGAAAAGAGAAGACAGAAGAGAAAGGGAGAAACGGAAAGAAACAAAGAAGAGGAAAGAGAGAAGAGAGAAGAGGAAAGAGAAGAGGAAAGAGAGAAGAGGAAAAAGACAAGAGGAAAGAGAAAAGAAAGAGAGUCAGGCAGAGAAGAGGAAGAGAAGGAAGAAAGAGGGUGAGUGAGCAGAGAGAAAAUUCAGUGAGCCACACAUAUUGUAAACACUAUUGUAGCCAUAUUAUUUUAUAUAGUGAAAAGUUACUGCUGCUGCUCUCCGAGGACGUAGGCAUAGCCGAACCUCGUUAAAUGCUGUGUCUCAUCUACUUUACGUGCAGCUAAAUAUUCGUACAUAUUCCAGGUCAUUUUAUAACACGUUAUCAGCACGAUAGUCUCUCCUUUUAUUUCUGAAAUCUUUCAACUCAACACUAUGUGGUUACUUCUUUGUCUCCUCUCUGUCAUAUGUCUACUCUCACUUUACUACUACAAUGACAUGCAAACUUUCUUUUUUGUGUUCUCACAAUUUCUAUGUUGUUUAAUCCAUGCUUGUUUAAUUUACUUCUUUGUAACGUAAUUUGUAAUUUCUAUGUUGUUUAAUCUGUCCUGUUAUUUUAUGGUGGUGUAAUUUUUACCCAUCGCGUUGUAACACAAAUUAUUGUAAUAAAAUGAUGGUGUGAUCUUAAAACCCAUCUAUUAUAUCUUGAAUAGUGGCGCAGUUAUAUUGCCCACACUAUAUAAUAUAUUAUGCACUUCAUAUAUAUUAGGUGGAGGUUUUUAUCCCCACAUUUAUUUUAUUUAUGGUAUGGUGCAGGUUUAUUACUCAUACGGCAAUAUUUAAAGGGUGGUGCGGGUUUAUCGUCCACGCCUUUGCUUUUAUGUAUAGAGCAGAAUUAGUGCCCAUACAAGCACGUUCGCAAAUUAUUACUUUACUGUACAUUAUUUACUGUAUGGUGUAGAUUUAUUACCCAUACAACAGUAUCUAUUUAAAAAGGGUGGUGCGGGUUUAUCGUCCACGCCUUUACUUUUAUUUAAAUGUAUGGAGCAGAAUUAGUGCCCAUAUAAGCACGUUUACUUUACCGCACAUUUAAUUUAUUUAAGGUAUGGUGCGGGAUUAACGUCCAUACAGCAAGCUAUUUAAUUUAUGAAUUUACUUUACCGCACAUUUAAUUUUAUUUAAGGUAUGGUGCGGGAUUAACGUCCAUACAGCAAGCAAUUUAAUUUAUGAAUUUAUUUUACCGCACAUUUACAUUUAUUUAAAGUAUGGUGCGGGUUUAUCGUCCAUACCAGUAAUUUAUUUAUCAGCAAUUUAUUUUAUGGAUUAAUUGUGCUGUAUGAUGAGUUUUUACAGUAUGCAGAUCAGGACCAAAAGUUCCUUGAUCCUCAUCAUACAAUUACAUCAGGACUUGAAGAUCCUUGAUGAUGAUAUUAAUAUGAGAGCUGACAGUCUCUCCGGUACUAUAUUUAUAAACAUGUGAUCGGACUUAAGGGUCCUUGAUCCCUGACAUGUAAAUAAGGACCUAGAGUUCCUUAAUGAUGUAACAGUACCGUAUUGGUUCAUAGUGCCGUACACAUGGAUGAUAACUGUACUGGCAGAUGUACUGUACACAUGAAUAGAUACGUAUUCAUGACUUGAUGAAUAGUACUAUUCACAUGAAUAGUGACGUAUGCAUAAAUAUUAACCAUUUUGGGUAAACCGUCACUAUAUACAAAAGGUAACCUGCAGUUCCUUAAACUCAUGGAUGAGCAAUUAAAUGAGAUGCCAGAAGUUCCUCAAAAUAUGGACAAUUAUGUAAGGGCUUGAAGUCCCGAAAUAUGUACAGAAAAUUGUAAAAAUGUCCAUACCAUGAGAAUAUGUGAUUUUGGCCCGAAGUUCAAAAUCUAACAGUAUUGAGAACCUAAAAUUCCAACAGUUAAAUGGACAACCCUUGAGGUAUUAUUGCAAAUUGUGGUAUGCCACAUAUUUCUUUGGCAUAAGAGAAUGAUGAAUUUAAUAAAGUUCGAUUCUGUUAUAAUCGACACCUCAAGGAAGAAAUAUAUUUUGUGAAUUCCGGUUGUUAAGAAUACACCGCGAAAUGGAUAAUAUCAAUAUAAACCUCAAAUAAUGAAUUGAGGCUCCCCACAUAUUUUGUUAUAUCUGGGCCGGAAGCCCCUGGAUCCAAAUAUAUGAGAGAUCCUGAACUUGAAGUUGUGGGUAUAUAGUAGUUAAUGCUCUUCACUACUAUAUUGCGAUAUUAUCGUAUUUCAUGUCUAUUUGAAAAGGGCAAAUAAAUUCUGAGUUUGUGUUUAGCUCAGGCCAAAAGUUCCAGGCUACCAUGCGAUAAAAUAUGAAAUUUGGGAGAGACAAUGUGGUUAUUUGAACCUAUAAGGCACAAGGUUCCAAACCGUCAUUUUGAAAAGACGUAAAAACCACAGGUGUAAGUUUAAGAAUGUGCGCAAUUAUUAUAAUAGGAAAGGAGCAUAUAACAGAUAGAUUUUUUCCACCUGCAAUGAAGGUGCAGGCCCUGUAAAAUCUAUAAAAAUUACAUUAUGUUCUGGAAGCCUCUGAAGGAAGAGGACGGCGCCUCUUAAGCUUAGCCAUGAGCUUCUCGUGGUCUCCCAAAAUUCUUUCAUUGGAGACCUGCAGCAUGUCUAGCCUUCUCAGUGUAUCAACGGAGUACGAACUCACCAGUUUCAACAAGGAAUUAUUCUCUCCUUUAAGUUUCUCAACCUCCUGUUGAGACUCAUGAAGCAUUCUUUGAAGAGACGAAUUUUCAGUUGUUAGCCUCUCAACCUCGUUUGCUCUGGCACGCAAACGAUCAGCCAUGUUAGAAACAGAAGCAGCACUCUGAAUGCUAAAAGCCAUUGAGUCAUCAAUAGCCUCUUCCUCAGAUCUCCCUGUCAACAACAUUUCAUCCAUUGGAAUAAUGAAAUUCCUAGCUACUAUGACAGCAGUAGCAUCAUUCAUCAUCACAGAAUCAUUAACUGUGAGAUGACGAUUUUGGGAUACAAAGGAUGGACGCCAAACUUGGGCAUCAUUGGUAGUUAUGGGAGCAUCAUUUAAAUUGAAAUAAUUUGGGCAGGAAGAAGAGGAAGCCAUUUUAAGAAGGUUUUGAAGAAAGUCUUACAAAAACUAAAGUUUCAGAAAAUGAAGGAAGUUGAGUUGAAACGCAGUUGCUCCAAUCAAGUUUUGCAAAGGCAAUAUCUAUAGACGAAAAUGUGGCAACAUUUUCAGGAUCCCAAUAUCUUCUCGAAUCCCCAUAUUAUCUUUUUCUUUCCCAGAGUCCAAAACUUCACGUGGCCUCUGAUAAUGCCUGUCGGUACUUUCGGCGUUUUCAAGUAUUAUUUUCGUCAAAGCUGAUCUUGCUUUACGGAUUUCACGGAGCUACUUUUUCAAAAGUACCCCGAGAAUCUCGCAAUUUUUCUAUGGUUAAUUUGAAAUUCACAGGUUCUACCUAUUCAUUGUAUUUGUGUAUAAAUGUGUUACUAACGAAAUUUUCUUUGCAGAAGACAUCCAGUUUACUCCAUACCUAGUGAUGCGAUAUCUACUUAUUUUUCUUAUCAGUGAGCACUCAAUAUGCCCGAGAAGCAAGACUAUCUCUGAUCAUUCAUUCAGGAAGCAAGACUAUCCCUGAUCACAUUUCCGCUACAUCAGGAAACUGUGAAGGCGAUCUUAUACUCUAAUCUCCGGAAGUCCUUCUAGACUAGGAGAUAUGAGAGCUUAUUGUCUGCUCCCACCAGCUUCCUUCCUUGAUUGCUUACCUUCUCUUGCAAUCAAUAUCACAUUAUUUUUGCAUUUUUUCUCUUUUUAUAACUCUCUGUUCAUAAGAGAUUUUAUUUCUUUAGAAUGAACAUCUGAAGAAUGAAUCCAUGAAGUAAUCCUAACUAUGAGGGUUAUUUGUUUUGACAGAGGCAAAAGAGUUGUGAUUUUUGCUCUUGCAAGAUAUAACUAGAUCAUCAAGCGCUACAUUAUAUUUACUGGGCCGAUAUGAGCUUGAAUGAUACUUGAGAAAAGUUUCUCCCACCUAAGGAUGUAAGCAAUACUUGUGUUAUUUUAUGCUUAUAUACCUAUUUGAUAUUUUAUCUUGAAAGGUAACCAAAUGGGGAGAUAAGUCCGUUCCAAAAGAAUGGCUUGUAUGUAUCCAUGAAUUAUUAACGCAAAUUUUACAGAUUGCAAGUUGGAUACAUUGAUAAUACACUACACAGAUUAAAGUCCCAUAAGAACAGAAUAUGGGUAUAGCAGUGAUCAAUAUGAUGCACGCCUGUUGCGUAGCAAAUGAUGUGGAUUGAAGUCCCGAAAGGACAAUCCUUUGACAUGUCAAUAUUGAUAUUGUGCACGCCUAAUGCGUAGCAAAUUGUAUGGGUUAAAGUCCCAUAAAUUAAUUGACAUGUAUGUAUUAAUCUGUGGCAUGCCUGCAGCAUGACAGAUAUAUGGGUUCUAAAUGUUCCAACUCCCUAAAUGGAGAUUAUCCACGCCCUACUAUAAAAUAACGCUCCAUUGGAGGUUAUAAUCCACAUUCUCACAUAAUAAAAGCCCCCUGCAGUGGCUUGGGUACCCAAAAGCAAAGAAAUGCUUAUAAUUGAUGUAUGCGCAUGCAAAUGAGAAUGGUGGGAUCAUAAAUUGAUGAAUGACAAAUUUUGAUUUUGGAGUAGCUACUCAAAUCAUCAAUGGGCUGUGUUGAUUGGAACCACGUUCAAUUAUUAAAUGUCGACAAUAUCAUUGGCCAAAAUGGAAUGAGGCAAUUCCAUUAUAGAUGAGAAUGAACGUGAAAGAACAAACCCACAGUACGAACCCCAAAAGAUGUUAAUAUUAAAAGUUAUACUUGGGUGUUCGGAAUAAAAGGGAAUAUACCUACUUUGUAUGACACAAUGUUUCUGGCAGAAGCAGGGAAUGUUGGGUUUUCUCCAUAUUUACAAAUUCAAUUGUGCCCCCUUAUUGCACAUUUACGGAGACCAACAUGUUAUCUUUAAAGGUUAUUAAAUGCACGGAGCAUAUUGUCAGAAGGGAUUUCCUAAAGAUGUAUAAAUAGCUAGGUUAAAGCUAUAUAAUGUGUCAUAAAGUUUAAUCCCUUUAAUCAAAAUCCUUGAAAGGAUUGAAAUUGCACAAAGCAAGUCCCUGAAUGACAUGUGCCUGAAGCACAAAAUCUGUACUCAAUGUUAAUGUACAUAAAUUGCCUAAGUGAGUAUAUUGAUUAUAAUGUGUUUGCAACACAUUAAAGCUUCUCAAGAGUUCCAGAAAUAUUUGUCUCGACUGAAAGAUCGAGCAUUAUGCCAACGAGGUUAUUGCUUAUACUAAGAAAGUAUUGAAGCAUUUUUAUGAGGAUUAUCCGUUGGACACUUUAAGGAUUUUCCGGAAGUAUAUUGGACCGGACAUCGUAUUUGAGCUCAACUCCAUCAACAUCAUUUUGGGAUGAUGUGAGGUAUAUUUGAUGCUAUCUCCACAUAACACCAUGUAUGGGCAUAUUCUUUCAUAUGAUCUUACAAAUAGCCCAGGUUUUGUUGGAAACGCGGACUCUGAAAAUUUCUAUGAUUUACAUAGAGAUAGCUCACUGGAAAUAUAUUUACUAUAUGAAUUGUUGGUGGCUACAUCAUUCACUCACUCCGAAAGAUUCUCACUCCAAAAGAUAGUUAUGAAGACAUCAGGGGGAGAUAUUAAUCAAGGGGAGCAUCCAGAAGUAUGCUAUACAGAUUGUUGUACUCUUCUUUCUUCAUUCCAUCAGUUUUCUACCUCACUAGGUUUUCUCCAAGCAAAGUCUGAUGAAGCAACUGACAUAUUAUUUGUGGUCUCCAAGGGGGAGUGUUGUAAAGUUUUUGUGUGGAGCCCACUAACUAUUCAUUUGGAGACUUUGGGUAGAGUUUGUCGGCAACUUUUUCUUACUGCACACUCACGAGAGUUGCACCAAUCUGCCUAUAAAUAGGCAACCUGCAAAGUGAAAGAAAAGAGAAGACAGAAGAGAAAGGGAGAAACGGAAAGAAACAAAGAAGAGGAAAGAGAGAAGAGAGAAGAGGAAAGAGAAGAGGAAAGAGAGAAGAGGAAAAAGAAAAGAGGAAAGAUAAAAGAAAGAGAGUCAGGCAGAGAAGAGGAAGAGAAGGAAGAAAGAGGGUGAGUGAGCAUAGAGAAAAUUCAGUGAGCCACACAUAUUGUAAACACUAUUGUAGCCAUAUUAUUUUAUAUAGUGAAAAGUUACUGCUGCUGCUCUCCGAGGACGUAGGCAUAGCCGAACCUCGUUAAAUGCUGUGUCUCAUCUACUUUACGUGCAGCUAAAUAUUCGUACAUAUUCCAGGUCAUUUUAUAACAUAAUUUAAUUUAUUGGAAUUUUUAGCGCUUUUUAGGUGGACUUCGCGCCGGGUUUUUAAAUGGGCAUCGGAUCGGACCUUUUGGCCCAACUAAAAUUUUGGGCCUUGGUAUUUGGACAUCUGAUCGGGCUUAAGCUCCAAAAUGUUAAAUAAAAGCCCUAACACUUGUGCUAUAUAUUUCUCUCUCUACGAGUCGAAAUCGGACUUUUAGCAUUUCCAAGGGAUAUGUAAGUACUUCGGGAAAAAAAAAACAAAAAAAAGGGAUAUGUAAGUACCAAACAUUAAUUUUAAAUUUAAAAAUUUAUGUGACAAUUUGACAUUUUACAAAGU